rnacentral:piRNA from 1 species
UAAGGCCUAGGAAUUGUGUGG